rnacentral:rRNA from 1 species
AUGAGGUCAUGGAAGGAAAAGAAGAGAAGAACGGUGAGACUGGUGCACGUCCGUGGGGCGACGCCCUUUGGUGUUGAUGAUGAACCGGUGGCCCUCGGCCCCUCGAACCAAGCGGCAGACGUGAGCCCGGAUGUGGUGUUCGUCCCCUGCGCCUCCACACGCAUCCAAGACACUCCUCCACGCAACACCAGGUUUUUCCAUCGGCGACGCGACCUGGAGAUGUGGUCUGUGUGCAAACGCGAAAGCCAACCGAAUCGACGGAUUCAUGGUUGUAUGGAGAAUCAGUGGAGAACCGGGCCUUAA